rnacentral:pre_miRNA from 1 species
UGAGCCCCUCCAGGGUAAGUGGAAAGACGGUGGACCCCAGCCCAUGCGCUUUCUUCGUGCCCUAUGCCUGCAGACCACCCCCUGCGCACCUCCCGCCCCCCAC